GCCAAAUUGGCCACGGCGUCGCGAGCGUGCGCCGCUCGCGCACGCUCGCGACGCGUGUCCCCGCACAUGCCGUCCUUAUCUCGCUCGCAGGCCAGCUCGCUCCUCUCCCGAAGCCUCUCCAUGCUGCCUGAGCCGCCCACGCCUCUCCCUCUCCUUCUCGCGCGAGCGCCGAGCCAUGGCCGCCGCCUCCGCCUAGCUCGCCGUGGAGCUCCCUCCUCCGGCCUCCCUAGGCUCGAACCAACCUGCCCACAAGCUUCCUCACACCCCACCGGUGCUCCUCAGCCCGAGCCCGCCCCGAAUCGGCCGCCGAAACCUCGCUGUGGUCGCUCACCGUCGCCGCCGGCCGCCUGCUUCCGUCGCCGGCCCUCUUCCGGCCACCCCAGCAUCAACCGAGACCACCCAGAGAGCGCACUCUUGAACAGUGGAUCACUACUUACUGCUUACCAACGAAGUCAAAAGGAGAAAGUCAGCAAAGGUACACGCAAGCUCGGGCUCUUGACCAUUGACCAAAGCAGCAUCCCAUAAAAGUAUACUCUGGCAGAGAGACCAUAC